rnacentral:rRNA from 1 species
GACAGAGGAUGCAAGCGUUAUCCGGAAUGAUUGGGCGUAAAGCGUCUGUAGGUGGCUUUUCAAGUCCGCCGUCAAAUCCCAGGGCUCAACCCUGGACAGGCGGUGGAAACUACCAAGCUGGAGUACGGUAGGGGCAGAGGGAAUUUCCGGUGGAGCGGUGAAAUGCGCAGAUAUCAGGAGGAACACCAAUGGCGAAGGCAGCUCGCUGGGACGUGACUGACGCUGAGACGCGAAAGCGUGGGGAGCAAACAGG